AACGCACAUUGCGCCCUUUGGCAUUCCGAAGGGCAUGCCUGUUCGAGCGUCAUUAUCACCAUUCAAGCCUGGCUUGGUAUUGGGUGUCGUCCUGCCCUCUGCGGCGCGGACGCUCCCUAAAACUAUCGGCGGUGCAGCACCGGCUUCGAGCGUAGCAGACCUUCGCUUUCGGGGACCCGGUGAGGCAGCGGCCGCGACGCACAACCUCUAGGUUGACCUCGGAUCAGGUAGGGAUACCCGCUGAACUUAA
rnacentral:misc_RNA from 1 species